rnacentral:rRNA from 1 species
AGGACUAACGCUGGCGGCGUGCCUAACACAUGCAAGUCGAACGAAGUAGCAAUACUUAGUGGCAGACGGGUGAGUAACACGUAGUCAACCUGCCCUCCAAUGGGGGAUAACUAGCCGAAAGGUUAGCUAAUACCGCAUACGAUCUCUGAGUGGCAUCACUCGGCGAUGAAAGGAGUAAUCCGUUGAAGGAGGGGACUGCGUCCCAUUAGUUAGUUGGUGGGGUAAUGGCCUACCAAGACUCCGAUGGGUAGCUGGCUUGAGAGAGCGACCAGCCACACUGGAACUGAGACACGGUCCAGACUCCUACGGGAGGCAGCAGUGAGGAAUUUUCCGCAAUGGGGGAAACCCUGACGGAGCGACGCCGCGUGUGGGAAGAAGGCCUUCGGGUCGUAACCACUGUCGAGGGGGACGAUAUUGACGGUACCCCUGGAGGAAGCCCCGGCUAACUACGUGCCAGCAGCCGC